AACCAUAGAAACCUGCGGAGUACCUGCGAAGGAUCAUUACAGAGUUGCAAAACUCCCUAAACCAUUGUGAACGUUACCUAAACCGUUGCUUCGGCGGGCGGCCCGGGUCCUUCCCGGCGCCCAUCGGCCCUCGCGGGCGCCCGCCGGAGGUAAACCAAACUAUUGCAUUGUAUGGCCUCUCUGAGUCUUCUGUACUGAAUAAGUCAAAACUUUCAACAACGGAUCUCAGAUCGGAAGAGC
rnacentral:misc_RNA from 1 species